UGAGGAAUAUUGGUCAAUGGGCGCGAGCCUGAACCAGCCAAGUAGCGUGAAGGAUGAAGGCUCUAUGGGUCGUAAACUUCUUUUAUAUGGGAAUAAAGUAUUCCACGUGUGGAAUUUUGUAUGUACCAUAUGAAUAAGGAUCGGCUAACUCCGUGCCAGCAGCCGCGGUAAUACGGAGGAUCCGAGCGUUAUCCGGAUUUAUUGGGUUUAAAGGGAGCGUAGGUGGAUUGUUAAGUCAGUUGUGAAAGUUUGCGGCUCAACCGUAAAAUUGCAGUUGAAACUGGCAGUCUUGAGUACAGUAGAGGUGGGCGGAAUUCGUGGUGUAGCGGUGAAAUGCUUAGAUAUCACGAAGAACUCCGAUUGCGAAGGCAGCUCACUAGACUGUUACUGACACUGAUGCUCGAAAGUGUGGGUAUCAAACAGG
rnacentral:rRNA from 1 species